GAUGAACGCUAGCGGCAGGCCUAAUACAUGCAAGUCGAACGGUGUAGCAAUACACAGUGGCGCACGGGUGCGUAACACGUAUGCAACCUACCUUACAUUGGGGGAUAGCCUUUCGAAAGGGAGAUUAAUACCGCAUAAGACAGUAACUAGGCAUCUAGUAGCUGUUAAAGAUUUAUCGAUGUAAGCUGGGCAUGCGUCCAAUUAGUUAGUUGGCGAGGUAAUGGCUCACCAAGACGAUGAUUGGUAGGGGAACUGAGAGGUCAAUCCCCCACACUGGCACUGAGAUACGGGCCAGACUCCUACGGGAGGCAGCAGUAGGGAAUAUUGGGCAAUGGGCGCAAGCCUGACCCAGCCAUGCCGCGUGCAGGAAGAAGGCGUUAUGCGUUGUAAACUGCUUUUAUACAGGAAGAAACGACCCUUGCGAGGGGCAUUGACGGUACUGUAUGAAUAAGCACCGGCUAACUCCGUGCCAGCAGCCGCGGUAA
rnacentral:rRNA from 1 species